AAUAGAUACCCGGGUAGUCCACGCCGUAAACGAUGAGUGCUAAGUGUUAGAGGGUUUCCGCCCUUUAGUGCUGCAGCAAACGCAUUAAGCACUCCGCCUGGGGAGUACGGUCGCAAGACUGAAACUCAAAGGAAUUGACGGGGGCCCGCACAAGCGGUGGAGCAUGUGGUUUAAUUCGAAGCAACGCGAAGAACCUUACCAGGUCUUGACAUCCUUAUGCCUUCUCUAGAGAUAGAGCUUUCCCUUCGGGGACAUAAGUGACAGGUGGUGCAUGGUUGUCGUCAGCUCGUGUCGUGAGAUGUUGGGUUAAGUCCCGCAACGAGCGCAACCCUUGAUCUUAGUUGCCAGCAUUCAGUUGGGCACUCUAAGGUGGACUGCCGGUGACAAACCGGAGGAAGGUGGGGAUGACGUCAAAUCAUCAUGCCCCUUAUGACCUGGGCUACGACACGUGCUACAAUGGAUGGUACAAAGGGAAGCGAAACCGCGAGGUUAAGCCAAUCCCAUAAAACCAUUCUCAGUUCGGAUUGCAGG
rnacentral:rRNA from 1 species